GCUUAUGCGUUGCUGGGUAGGGGAGCGUUCUGUAAGCCUGCGAAGGUGGCCUGUGAGGGUUGCUGGAGGUAUCAGAAGUGCGAAUGCUGACAUAAGUAACGAUAAAGCGGGUGAAAAGCCCGCUCGCCGGAAGACCAAGGGUUCCUGUCCAACGUUAAUCGGGGCAGGGUGAGUCGACCCCUAAGGCGAGGCCGAAAGGCGUAGUCGAUGGGAAACGGGUUAAUAUUCCCGUACUUGGUGUUACUGCGAAGGGGGGACGGAGAAGGCUAUGUUGGCCGGGCGACGGUUGUCCCGGUUUAAGCGUGUAGGUGUGUGUUCCAGGUAAAUCCGGUUCACUUUAACACUGAGGCGUGACGACGAGGCACUACGGUGCUGAAGCAACAAAUGCCCUGCUUCCAGGAAAAGCCUCUAAGCAUCAGGUAACAUCAAAUCGUACCCCAAACCGACACAGGUGGUCAGGUAGAGAAUACCAAGGCGCUUGAGAGAACUCGGGUGAAGGAACUAGGCAAAAUGGUGCCGUAACUUCGGGAGAAGGCACGCUGACACGUAGGUGAAGUGAUUUACUCAUGGAGCUGA
rnacentral:rRNA from 1 species